rnacentral:misc_RNA from 1 species
GAUGAAGAACGCAGCGAAAUGCGAUAAGUAAUGUGAAUUGCAGAAUUCAGUGAAUCAUCGAAUCUUUGAACGCACAUUGCGCCCCCUGGUAUUCCGGGGGGCAUGCCUGUUCGAGCGUCAUUACAACCCUCAAGCUCUGCUUGGUGUUGGGCCCCGCCGCCCCGGCGGGCCCUAAAAUCAGUGGCGGUGCCGUCCGGCUCCGAGCGUAGUAAUUCUUCUCGCUCUGGAGGUCCGGGUGUGUGCUCGCCAGCAACCCCCAAUUUUUUUCAGGUUGACCUCGGAUCAGGUAGGGAUACCCGCUGAACUUAAGCAUAUCAAUAAGCGGAAGA